GGGGGUGUGUGCCCUGGCAGGGGAUUUUGGGACCCCAGUCUCUUCCUUUCUGUUCUACCUCUGAGUAGCUGUGCUCUCUCCUGCGCUGGGGCCUGAUGUUCUGCUUCUUCAGGGAGCCGAGUGACCACGACUGCAAUCUCUGAAACCCUUGUAUUUACAAAAUGAAUCAAAAUAUUUUUUUUUAAAUUCAAGAGUCAAGAAAAUAAACAGCUGGAAAUAAGCAGACUACUGUAAAGAGUGAAUUGAAAAGAAAACCCAAUGUAAGUGAGAAGUUGGAUGAUGCUCUAAUAAAGAUCAUUAGCAAAGUUUUAGUUCAAUGCUAUUUUUUAGGAUUCUUGUAAAUGGCUUGCAUUUUUAGUGUGGCAGAAAAGGAGAUUUUACAUACUGUACACAGACAGCAUAUGUUUAUAGGUACAGUAUCACUUUUCAAACUUGCAUGUAUAUUUACAGAAGGCUGAGUUUGUUACUCACAGAGUUUUGUGAAAUUUGUGUGCUUAAUCCUCAAGACCUACACACAAUUAGAAUCAACAUUUCAUGUGGUCUUUUUAAAUGUGGUUUUUAUUCUUGGUUGUAGAAGAAAAUGUUAAUCAUAAGGCUUGGUAUACUUCAUAAAUUUGCCAAAACAACCCAGGAAAAAAGUUUUAAUUGGGGCCACUUGUAAUUUAAUAAUUAGCAGAUGCUGACAUGUGCUGGCCAUUGUGCAGGCACAAAGAGAUACACUGUCUACCCUAGGGGUGCUUAGGAUGCUAAAUAGUGCCUUAAAAAAAGUUUUAAUCUCUUUCCAAGUGAGACAGUUAAGGAAUGACGUGAUUUGUGUUCAGCGAUUUCUCCCUAAACAGUAGCCAAUUCACUCUAAAGGGUUAACUAUUAGCAUUCGCUUUCAUGAACCACACAAUUGCAUUUAUAAUUAAGGUAAUAUGAACUCUUCCAUAAAAAUGGAAAAUAUCUAGAAUGGUGGGUAAAUAUGCAGUGCAUGGGAGCCACUGAUCAUGGCUUGAGAAUUUAUCACUUUCAGUUACAAAAAGUGCAGUAAACAGAAACAUUUGCUCUAUAUUUAUAAAUUGCUCAAAAAUCUUUGCUAAAGAUCUUACAAAUUCAGUAAUAUUACAGAACAAUUCUAAUCAAUAUUUAAUAAGGCUAACUACAUCCUUAGUUAGAUAUUUG
rnacentral:lncRNA from 1 species